AGUUAUGAAAUGCAUAUUGAGAUGGGAUAUUUUAUUAUCUCCAUUUACUCGGCUUUAGAUACUUUAGAUGGUAUCUGUUUACUCACUAGGAUUACAAAAUCUCACCCCUUCUUCCUAUACACUUUUCAAGCUCAGGAUAGUUUGUAGAUAGUCGAGUAGGACGAGAACUAAGCUCGGAACUGCAUUAUAGAAAGUAAGAGUUCGCAGUCUUACAUCUUCUUGGUCAAUUGGGGCCCACGUGUCAUUG
rnacentral:lncRNA from 1 species